rnacentral:rRNA from 1 species
UUCGUAGGCGGUGCGGCAAGUCGGGAGUGAAAUCUCUGGGCUUAACUCAGAGGCUGCUUCCGAAACUGCUGUGCUUGAGUGUGGGAGAGGCGCGUGGAAUUGCAGGUGUAGCGGUGAAAUGCGUAGAUAUCUGCAGGAACACCCGUGGCGAAAGCGGCGCGCUGGACCACAACUGACGCUGAGGAACGAAAGCUAGGGGAGCAAACAGGAUUAGAUACCCUGGUAGUCCUAGCCCUAAACGAUCAGGACUUGGGGUGCCGCCCGUUCGGGCGUCGUCCCGGAGCUAACGCGUUAAGUCCUGCACCUGGGGAGUACGGUCGCAAGACUGAA